GGGGCUGAUUCGGAUUCGACGGGAUUUGCGAAACCCAAGGUGCAUGCCGAGGGGCGGUUGGCCUCGUAAAAAGCCGCAAAAAAUAGUCGCAAACGACGAAAACUACGCUUUAGCAGCUUAAUAACCUGCUUAGAGCCCUCUCUCCCUAGCCUCCGCUCUUAGGACGGGGAUCAAGAGAGGUCAAACCCAAAAGAGAUCGCGUGGAAGCCCUGCCUGGGGUGAAGCGUUAAAACUUAAUCAGGCUAGUUUGUUAGUGGCGUGUCCGUCCGCAGCUGGCAAGCGAAUGUAAAGACUGACUAAGCAUGUAGUACCGAGGAUGUAGGAAUUUCGGACGCGGGUUCAACUCCCGCCAGCUCCACCA
rnacentral:tmRNA from 1 species